UUUGUAAUUAAAUUUAUGAUUUU
rnacentral:miRNA from 1 species